GCCUGGGUGGCUCAGUUGGUGAAGCAUCUGACUUCAGCUCAGGUCAUGAUCUCAUGGUUCGUGGGUUCAAGCCCUGUGUCGGGCU
rnacentral:tRNA from 1 species